AUAGAGACUCAGAGCUGCAUAUCAAUAAGCGGAGGAAAAGAAACUAACAAGGAUUCCCUUAGUAACGGCGAGUGAAGCGGGAAGAGCUCAAAUUUGAAAUCUUCAAGGUUCUACCUUGACGAAUUGUAGUUUAAAGAAGUGUUUUCUGUUAGUGGAGUGGCAAAAGUUCUUUGGAAUAGGACAUCAUAGAGGGUGAGAAUCCCGUAUUUGGUCAUUCCUCCUAGCGUUGUGAUACACUUUCAACGAGUCGGAUUGUUUGGGAAUGCAGUCCAAAAUGGGUGGUAAAUUUCAUCUAAAGCUAAAUAUUGGCGAGAGACCGAUAGCGAACAAGUACCGUGAGGGAAAGAUGAAAAGAACUUUGAAAAGAGAGUUAAACAGUACGUGAAAUUGUCAAAAGGGAAGCGUUUGACACCAGUGUUGUUUUUCCGAAAAUCAAUUACGAAUGUUUUGUUUUUGAGGAGUUAUGACUUCAUCGGCUUGCUCCUUUCUUUACGAAACUUUCUUAAUGCACUUUUCGGUUAACAAGUCAACAUCAAUUUCUUUUGUUGUAAAAGGGUAUGAGGAAGGUGGCUUUCUUUUCGGAGAAAGUGUUUAUAGCCUUGUGCCUCUGCAAUCGGAGAGAUUGAGGUCUGCAGCGUAGAUCCUUCGGGGUUAGAUACGUUUGUGCUAAGUUAUAGCUUUUCAUAGACAACUUGUUGACUAUGUUUAGUCUUGUAGCUUACUCGCUUACGCUAUUUUACCUACGCUUAGGAUGUUGAUAUGCAUGACUGAUA
rnacentral:rRNA from 1 species